GACGAACGCUGGCGGCGUGCUUAACACAUGCAAGUCGAACGGAAAGGCCCUGCUUUUGUGGGGUGCUCGAGUGGCGAACGGGUGAGUAACACGUGAGUAACCUGCCCUUGACUUUGGGAUAACUUCAGGAAACUGGGGCUAAUACCGGAUAGGAGCUCCUGCUGCAAGGUGGGGGUUGGAAAGUUUCGGCGGUUGGGGAUGGACUCGCGGCUUAUCAGCUUGUUGGUGGGGUAGUGGCUUACCAAGGCUUGACGGGUAGCCGGCCUGAGAGGGUGACCGGCCACAUUGGGACUGAGAUACGGCCCAGACUCCUACGGGAGGCAGCAGUGGGGAAUAUUGCACAAUGGGCGGAAGCCUGAUGCAGCAACGCCGCGUGCGGGAUGACGGCCUUCGGGUUGUAAACCGCUUUCGCCUGUGACGAAGCGUGAGUGACGGUAAUGGGUAAAGAAGCACCGGCUAACUACGUG
rnacentral:rRNA from 1 species